GACGAACGCUGGCGGCGUGGAUUAGGCAUGCAAGUCGAACGGUAUCAUCCUUUCGGGGAUGAGAGAGUGGCGAACGGGUGAGUAACACGUAGGUGAUCUACCCUCAAGACGGGGACAACCCAGGGAAACUUGGGCUAAUACCGGAUGUGAGCUAUCGCGAGAUAGUUUGAAAGGUGGCUUCGGCUGCCGCUUGAGGAUGAGCCUGCGUCCUAUUAGCUAGUUGGUGAGGUAACGGCUCACCGAGGCGAUGAUAGGUAGGCGGCCUUAACGGGUGGUCGCCCACACUGGGAUUGAGAUACGGCCCAGACUCCUACGGGAGGCAGCAGUCGAGAAUAGUCUACAAUGGUCGAAAGACUGAUAGUGCGACGCCGCGUGAACGAAGAAGCCCUCGGGUGUAAGUUACUUUAUUAUGUGAGCAGUGAGCCCACUAUUAAUAAGUAUGGUGGUAGAGAUAUUAGUCAUAUGAAUAAGACGAACGGACCGUAACUUACCCGUCGUCCGACGG
rnacentral:rRNA from 1 species